AGGAGGAGCUCGAGGGCUCAGCGCCCGAGCAACGGAGGCAGCGGAAACGGCGAGCUCAGGCCCUCUUCUCUCCUUGCCCGAGCAACGAAGGUCGACAAAAGAAGGUAAAGGUUGAAACUUUGAACCUCUUCUUAUCUUUUGAAUGCUUCGAUUCCGGCUGCUUCAGCUGAUUAUAAUAUUCACAAGGGUUAUGAUUCAUAAGGUGAGAUAUUUUUGAGUUCUUUGAUAUACUUUGAUGGGUACAUGGGGAGCAUCCGCUCUCUAAGAUUUCCGUACACAGAGCUACAAUGGCCCUUCACGAUGCAGCUUAAAUCAAGGCUUCUCCUAACCUUCUCGGUUUGAAGGUAUCCUUCAAAGAUUGCUGCUUUUCUUCUCUUUUUUGCCUUUAAACAUUACAUGUAGAUGUUAUUUUAAUUGAAGAAGUCGGGAAUAAAACAAUGAAGCUGUUGAUGAGGAAAUUGCAAUUGCCAGUUUAGUGAGGGCCAGACCACUGAAUGGGUAAACUUGGAACAUGGCCACCCAAAUCCUUCAGAUGAAGAUUGGAUUGGAGUUUUUUCUCCUGCAAAAUUCAGGCUUCUGUCAUUUUAAAAUUUUUGGUUUAUUUUGGAAAGCAAGGGAGGACCAACAACUUAUCGUAUGACUUUUGAGAGAUCUAAUUGUGAAUAAAUAAAUGCUUUAUUUGAUCAAUGUUGUAUCUGUAUGGUGGUAAAAUUUUAACUUGAUUUUUUUUC